CAAUAUGAUAUACUCUAAAGUCAUUUUCUUUACUUUGAUGUUUUUGGAAUCCACUCGAGAACUUACGUCAUUCGUAGAACCAUUGUGUUGGGAUUUUACUUCCAGUGACCAAAGGAUUUUGCGAUGUUGUGAUGGUUACAGAACUUUAGGAGGGAAAUGUUUCCCAUGCGUAGGUUCAUUUGGGCUCGAAUGUAGCAGGCCAUGUCCUG